GACCUCACAACGGCCGGCGCUGGAGCCCGGCAGCGCGUGCCCAGUCCUCGGCCCGCGCGUGCUUCCGGCGCUCUAGGGCGGAGCAGCCAGUAGCGGCCCCCGAUGGGGUUCGGGUUGCAGGGGCCCGCCCGCUCUACAGCUAGAAGGUAAACGGCGGGUGGCGCUAAUGGGCUGCGCCGCGCGUCAUCUUCGGGAGGGGAAGGAUUGAGACCCGUCCCGCCUCCUCUGAGGCGUGUUGCUGCGGUAUUUCCAGGCUUCCGUUUUCUGCCUUCACUGUGUAUUUCCCAGCACAGACAGAUUGUCAAAGGGCACCUGCUUGCUUUCUCUUCAGAGACUGAUAACGGAGUGAUUGUCAACAGUUACCAUGCAGCACUUCCUACACCAGCCUACUUUAUUCUUAAGGCACUCAAGCCUAUCCCCGUCACAGAUUUUCCCCCUUUCUUGCUGCAAGAGGAACAUGGCAUAAACACAGUAAUGUACAGAAACAAACAAGUUCAGAAUGUGGCCAUCUUUCUAGAUUUUGUCAAUUCUUAGCUAAUUUUUAAACAAUUUUAAUUUUGUAAGAUAUCCUAGUUAACAAAAGUAAAGAACAAGAUGGAUAUCCAGUUGUUUGUAUGCAUUUUAGUCCCAUACUCACAUCUUUAAUUUUUAAAUUAAAGAUCUUACAUGUA